AUAUUUUUAGAGGCUGCUGCUAUGAAAUGCACUGUGAAAAAUAAAGUGAGGACAUUCGAACAGCCGUUGGCAAUUGGCUAAAAUCAAGUAAAGGAAGAAUAGACGCAAGGCUGGAAAGUGAAGC